ACUUUAACACUGAGGCGUGAUGACGAGGCACUACGGUGCUGAAGCAACAAAUGCCCUGCUUCCAGGAAAAGCCUCUAAGCAUCAGGUAACAUCAAAUCGUACCCCAAACCGACACAGGUGGUCAGGUAGAGAAUACCAAGGCGCUUGAGAGAACUCGGGUGAAGGAACUAGGCAAAAUGGUGCCGUAACUUCGGGAGAAGGCACGCUGACAUGUAGGUGAAGUGAUUUACUCAUGGAGCUGAAGUCAGUCGAAG
rnacentral:rRNA from 4 species